AUCCAGCUUACGAGUCCCAAAUAGGACGAAACACGCGCCAAACUGGAU
rfam:Schistosoma mansoni strain Puerto Rico chromosome 4, complete genome